ensembl:snoRNA
UGAUGGCAGUGAUGAUUCCUAGAUUGUUGCGUUCCUGAUGUUCAGACGUGAGGGUGCACAGUCACUACCUCAUCUGAGCCAUCU